rnacentral:tRNA from 2 species
GCGGCUGUGGCAGAAAUGGCCAUGCAGCGGCUUGUGGCGCCGCCAGAUGCGGGUUCGAGUCCCGUCAGUCGCC